GGCAAUUCUUCAUGUGUAUAUCGUGUGGCUGGUCAAUGAAAAGUUUCUGGACCGAUCGGGAAUCGAACCCGUUACCCUCACUGUCAUGGCCAUGCUGAAUACCCGUGCGCUUACAGCAUCAGUGGUAUGGAUUGAUUGCCGUGAAUUUCAUGUUUUGCAAUUGCAUUUAUUCAUGCAUCAAGGUACCCCGUCCGUAUUUUGCCUGUGUAGUAUGUUUUGCUGAUCACACCACGGUUAAACUCGUUUUGACCGUAAAACAAUAACAGAGGGAUAAAAAAUAUCAAGUUUUCAAAUAUGCCCGACCAUCGUUGAGGCUAGUAAAUGCAAUAAGCUUUACCUUUCAGGCUUUGAAACGCCGCUUGUUAUUUUUUAAACUGAACUUAUAUCGUGUGAAUAACGAUUCCACUAUUCGCAUUCUACGAGUUCAGUUACUAAUCAUGAAGUUUUCGUGCUCUUUGGCGAUAAUUUUGUUGGCAAUAUGCUAUUUGCUGCAUACAGGAAGAGCCGUCCCUGUUCCUAGUCCACAGUUUUUGGAAGAAGACAUUUGUGGUGACACGAUCGAGCCCCAGCGUUGCUUGUGCGAAACUCGGAAUGGAAUAAGGGAAUGUGAUUAUUUUAUGUGAAGUGAAAAACAGCAAUAUCGGAAUCAAUUUUGAUAGAGAUGUUAUCGUACGAUGUGACUGUUCAGAUCGAUCCGCAGCUAUCAAGCAUAUGGCUUUGAACAUUCGAAUCGUAAGAAUUAAUAAGUGGAGGAAUAUAUGUUCAUCAUACUGUGAUGGGAAACAUUCAUGCUAUAUUUUUUAUAAUUACAUUUUGUUGUUAUUUUGGGUUAAUUAUGGCUUACAUGCGUUCAAACCAGCACCCGGAGAUAGUAUGCAAUCCAAAAGUUAUAUUCAAGGACGAAUGCGGCAAUGUUUGUGUCUGUAAUCCAAGAAGUAUUGCCUUAUGUGACGAUAAAAUCAUGAAGAUGUGUGGCAAGUGACCACAAUUAAAAAUAAAUCAUAUAUGACUCUCACGUGCUACAACUCCCUCGUACAGCGUAGUAUCACACUCUGAAUAAAACUCUAAACCAUCUCAUUAA